UACCUGUUUAUUAUACAAAAAGUUGUUCCAUAAGGAAGACAUAAAGGACGACCUAAACUGCCCUUGUGCUAAACCUGCUCAAACUUGGAAAUACCUGUAGUACUGCUCAGUACAUAUCUUAAGUUGAGGUGACAAUUGGAGUAACGAGUAUAGAUUCACUAGUUGCAAUAACGGUAUAGGACUAGUAUUUUUAAAGGAAAGACAUCUACGUAUCAAGUAUAUAUAUUGGAUAGAGGCAUACAUCCUUAGUUGUCAAGCAUGCCUGAAUUUUGCUGCUGUGAAAGAAAUAUAGUGCUAUGAUCAGAGUAGGUGAACGGAAAAAAGGACCAAAAAAGAAUGUUUCCGUAAUAUUUGGGAAAGUGUA